CCUACGGGAGGCAGCAGUGAGGAAUAUUGGUCAAUGGUCGCGAGACUGAACCAGCCAAGUAGCGUGAAGGAUGACUGCCCUACGGGUUGUAAACUUCUUUUAUAAGGGAAUAAAGUGUGGGACGUGUCCUAUUUUGUAUGUACCUUAUGAAUAAGCAUCGGCUAACUCCGUGCCAGCAGCCGCGGUAAUACGGAGGAUCCGAGCGUUAUCCGGAUUUAUUGGGUUUAAAGGGUGCGUAGGCGGCCUUUUAAGUCCGCGGUGAAAGUCUGUGGCUCAACCAUAGCAUUGCCGUUGAAACUGGGGGGCUUGAGUAGGUGUGAGGCAGGCGGAAUGCGUGGUGGAGCGGUGAAAUGCUUAGAUAUCGCGCAGAACCCCGAUUGCGAAGGCAGCCUGCCAAUCCAUGACUGACGCUGAUGCACGAAAGCGUGGGGAUCAAACAGGAUUAGAUACCCGGGUAGUC
rnacentral:rRNA from 1 species